UGCCACGGAGUGUUUAUGAAGCGGGGAUCGGCGCCUGUGUACCGACGGUAACUAGCACUGGAGGAGCCUGCAAUGUGUGUUUGAAUGUCGGUAACACAGUUCGUUUGCAUCGCUUUCCAGAGUCUCAGUAAGGUGCAGUGCGGCAUUGCGAAUUGACAGCAUUUUGGCGCGUUACAUGAGUGAUUCCGUGCUUCCGUGAUUCCGUACGGUAACGCAUGAACUACGCUCUGUAUUUGGUUCUUGCUUCGCCAGUGGUUAGCCCGUGCGCUUCUAUUUUCUUGUGAGCAGUCCAGGCAAAUGCAGUGUUCGGGAGUGAAACGAUGUGCGUUGUGAACAGUGGUGCUGUGUUGACAUUUCCAAGACUUGUGAAGAGGCUGUGCCCGUGUGACAGAAGAUUAAAAGCGUUGAUAACCGUGUUUCGUCCUACGAAGUUGCGAUGGUGCUUUAUGAGGACUUUAAGGAUUUGGCGCUGGGCUUGGCGCUUUCUUUUUUAACUCGUUGCUUCUCCUUAUUGUGAUAACCGUAAUUCGAACGUCAUAACGUGUCGAAGCGAAUUCGCUCGCCGAGACAUUGUGCUGUAAAUGUGGCUGCUUUGGCAGUAUGCCUUGACUGUUCUCCGGUGAAAACUUGGACUUGUACCUGGCAGCGAAAGCACGUGGACGUCACGCUUCGCUCCGGACAGAACACAAUUCUCACUGGUGCUUUGCCUUGGAUGAAGUCGUAGACCAGCACCUGCUAACUACAGGUUUUCGAGCCCAUCUGUCGUGUCGUUUUGCACGGCACUGGAGCCUUGACUACAGCGGCCCACGGCGAUUUCUCACGCUUCACCAGUGGACGUGCACGUCUUGCUAGCGUUGCAUUUCUACGUCAACGGCAGCUUCCAGUCCACGGACGUCGUUUGCCUGUGGCUGCAGAGCACAUUCCAUUCCCGAUGACGCUGACGGCUGCUAAUAUCGUUGUGCCAUCGAUUGCAGAUUUUCGUAAGGUCGUGGGAUACAUCGAUUGCAAGCACUGGCAAAUCAAGCCACCUUAUGACUUGGAGCACCUGCACAGAAAUAGGAAGGACUUGUGCUCCUUAAAUCUACAAGUCUUUUGCAACGGUGGGGGUGUCAUCAUCCAGCCGACCUCAAAGGGGCCUGGAAGCACGCAUGGCAGCCUCAUCUGGAUGGACUGUGCUCUGCCUGGGAGCUUCAAGGGUAGAAAACUGCAUAAUGGCUGGUUGCUAGGUGACUCUCGCUAUGCCUGAGAGCCAUGGGUGCUCACCCUCCUGUCCGUGUUUGGCCCAGCUGAGCAGCAGUGCAGUGCAGCCCCCACCCAUGCAAGACAAGUCAUACAGUGCACCUUUGGUGUUCUGAGCACGACACAGCGUAUCCGUCCGGCAUGGCAGUGACAUCAACAAUAAUGAUGCAGUAUCACUGGAUCAGGUGCCCCACUGUCAUGUAAUUGCACAGUGUAUCUCGGACAAAACACACAAGGCCAACAAGUAGAGAGCGACUACCAGUGACUGUGUCCUGCUGUUCAAAGUGCACGUCAACAGAAAGAAUGCAUUGUGAUAGUUGGAAUAGCUUGAAUUGUAUGGUGAGAAUCUGCACAGCUGCAGUUUAAUCGUUGAGCAGUGCAUCAUUCAGGAAUUCCUUGCACCUGAGGAUUCAAAAUUAAUUAAAUUCUGCAUUUAAUAUACCAAACCUUCGCGUUAAUGUAAAUCACACUGUAGUGGUAAUGUGCAAAUUAAUUUCGGCUACCUUGAAUUUUUAACAUGCACGUUGCUCAAAGUGCAUGUGUGUCUCCGCAUUUCACUGCCAUUAGAAACAGCAGCCAUGGUCGGCAACCAAAACCGUGUUUUCAUGUUUGGUAGUGCACGAAUGAAACCAUUGAAGCGCGUAGUUUUGCUUUCAGGAUACACGCAUUAUUAUAGCACAAAUGAUUUUAUGUAUAUAUGAGCUCUGGAAAGUCAUUUUCCGCGGAUUAUUUAGAUACAAAAGGAGCGUCACUAUUCCUAGUAUGUCCAACAGGCUUUAGCACCUGUGUAAUGUUAUCCUAUCGCAUGCUUGUCCUCUUCAACGGUCAACCUUUCUGCAUGUAGUGUGUAAGUUUUAAUUUUUUUUUUUCAUAUAGUGUUUGCUGCCAUAGGUUUCUCCAUAAUGUACUUGUAUACUCUGCAAAUAGUUUAUCAUCUAUGCAGCUUUGCUCAUAUUACUGCUGAAAGUAUUUAUUGCUUUUUGUAUGGUGACUAUGCAUGCACUUACUUAUGCCUUUUGAUGCGCCUGUGCAAUGGUUUAGCCUGAAGAGGGCUGCUGGUGUGCUCUAAACUUGAAACUGGCGACUUCGAACAAAUUUGAAGGCUGAUAACCAUUACUACUAUAUUCAGACAAGCUGUGAUAGCUCCAUGAAAAUGUGUUUAAGAUUCUGUAAAUUGUGCCAGGUAAAUGUUCUUAAAUUCCUUUAUUGUUGUCCAUGUUUCAUGCACCUGAAACAUAAUUACUUUGUCGUGGCACAUUAUAAAAUGUUAUUCUGCCCAUUUGUGCUGAUCAACAUUGCAGCUGAGGCCAGCAGCAAGAUAUACAUGCAAGGCACUGAAGCUUCACAUCACAUUCCUUGCCCAGCAGUGCACUGAAAUGUUUUUCAAGCGAAAUGAGAGACUGCUAUACAGCAGUCUCUCAUUUGAAGGAAGUCAGCACAUGUGCACAUUUUGAAACCCUUUUGAGGAGUGUUUUCAGAAGAAGCAAUAGGGUAUUUACAUGUCAACAACAGCAUUAUUUGUACCGAGGAUCUUAGUAACAGUGAAUUGUUUUAUUUAUGUAUUGUCCAGAAUUUGUCCGAGCUGUGCCAAUCUUCCAGCCCACGUCACCUGACAUGGCUUGUUAUAGUGUUGUCAAUAUGCCGGACUAUGUAAAUAAACUAUGUGUCAU